GGUUUCUGAAUGGAAGUUGCGUGGAUAUAAUACGGUUUGACUGACCAGAUAGCAGGUUUGUAAGCUUUUUGGCAAUGGAGUUCCUGACCAUGAAACCAACGCCAGAUAGACGUUUUUCUGCUUCCGGUUUUCCUGACCAGUAUAAGGUGUAACCUACAGCAUGUUCUUGUAGAUUACUUUCCUCAGGGAGGCAGACUUUACUGAGAGCAGCUAUGUUUACAUCCAGCCUGGCAAGUUCGAGUGCAACUAAGGCUGAGCAACGUUUGGGAUGAUUGCUGUCUUUUGAGUCAACAUAAUUCUGAUAUUCCAGCAAGCAAGCUUGAGUCCCUUUCCACCUCUGGGUGAGUUAUGAUUCCUCAUUGUGUUUUGACCACAGUUUAAGAUGCUUGUUAGCUGCGGUAAGCCAACUAGGUGUUUGGGAGAUGAGCUUUGUUUGGAGCACAUUUUCUAGGUUCAUCUCCAUGUGGAGCAAGUGGCCCUGUCCCUAAAAAGGGCUGCUUGGUCAUCUCCAGGUCAACAUCAGAUGACUCAAACACCCGAGUCACCUGCAUGCAGGAUUGAGACUGCUUCAUCCGCCGUUUUCGCCUCUUUCCUAUGUUGUCUCGGAUGUGGCGCUUGGAGCCAGCACGUGAGAGAUUUAGGAGAUGGAUGGGGACCAGAGUUUCAGGCCAUCCUACUGGUAGGAUGCAGCUGUGAAAUAGCAAAGGGUUGCUAGGGGUCAGAACCUAACCCAGAAACACAGGGCAUAAGGCUGGAGGAGGAGGGGACACACCCAGGACAGGAUGCCAGUCCAUCAUGAGGUACCCCAAGCGGGACUUGAACCCCAGACCCACUAGAGAGCAGGACCAGGUCCAACCCACUGUGCCACCACACCUCUCUACCAAUAUCUUACAUUUACAAAUAUUCUUUUAGCUGAUGCCUUCUCCAGAGCAACUUAAACUAUUAAGUUAAUUACUCAUUUACACAGCUGGGUAAUUUUCACUGGAGCAAUUUACAGAAAGCACCUUACUCAAGGACAGUACAGACAGAAGUGAGAGUUGAACUUGCAACCUUUAGGAACAAUGGCAGCAUUGCUAACCACUACACUACCAGCUACCCCGUUAUGUAAGCAUUUCUGGUAAAAUCUGGUUUAUUUAAGACAGAAACGUACAGUAUUAAAAAGGUACCUCAGUUUAAUUAGUGGGUAAUUUUUGGAAGUAGCAAUAAUGAAUAAAGUGCAGACUGUAAUUGCUCUAUAAGCUCGU
rnacentral:lncRNA from 1 species